GUGCUAGCUGUGGUUAAUGUGUUUAAUUGUAUUAUGCUCCUGAAGGAGUGCUAAUGUAAAUGAAGUAACAGCUCACAGUAGGGUAAAAUAUUUAAGGUGUAUUGAACUUAUUUUGUGUUAAUAUUAAAAUCAUUCAGCUUUAAAUUGUUUGUUUGUUAGCCACCUUCUAAUUAUCUUUAGCUAGCCAGCUAGCGCUAGCUUAUUAAUGCCAUGUAAUCCUCCCUAUAGCAUAUUGAUAACCUGUCAUCCUCCUUAGCUAGCGCUAGCAUAUUAAUAUCAUGUCAUUCUCUUUAGCUAGCUAGCUAAAGCUAGCACAUAUAAACACAUAAACCAAAGGUAGUGCUUAGCUACAUGCUAAUCGCUAGCUACAUGCUAAUCGCUAGCUACAUGCUAAUCGCUAGCUGUGCGCUAAUCGCUAGCUAACCGCUAAUCGCUAGCUAAGUGCUAGCUUUGGUUAAUGUGUUUAAUUGUAUUAUGCUCCUGAAGGAGUGCUAAUGUAAAUUAAGGAACAGCUCAUAGUAGGGUAAAAUAUUUAAGGUGUAUUGAACUUAUUUUGUGUUAAUAUUAAAAUCAUUCAGCUUUAAAUUGUUUGCUUGUUAGCCACCUUCUAAUUAUCUUUAGCUAGCCAGCUAGCGCUAGAUUAUUAAUGCCAUGUAAUCCUCCCUAUAGCAUAUUGAUAACCUGUCAUCCUCCUUAGCUAGCGCUAGCAUAUUAAUAUCAUGUCAUUCUCUUUAGCUAGCUAGCUAGAGCUAGCACACAUAAACACAUUAACCAAAGGUAGCACUUAGCUAUGUGCUAAUCGCUAGCUAAGACCUAAUUGCUAGCUACGUGCGAAUCGCUUGCUAACCGCUAAUCGCUAGCUAAGCGCUAAUCGCUAGCUAACUGCUAAUGGCUAGCUGUGCGCUAAUCGCUAGCUGUGCGCUAAUCGCUAGCUUAGCGCUAAUCGCUAGCCGUGCGCUAAUAGCUAGCUAAGUGCUAGCUUUGGUUAAUGUGUUUAAUUGUAUUAUGCUCCUGAAGGAGUGCUAAUGUAAAUUAAGGAACAGCUCAUAGUAGGGUAAAAUAUUUAAGGUGUAUUGUUCUUAUUUUGUGUUAAUAUUAAAAUCAUUCAGCUUUAAA